GAUGAACGCUGGCGGCGUGCUUAACACAUGCAAGUCGAACGGGCCGUGUCCCCUUUUUUUUGGCGGUGGGGUUAGUGGGGAACGUGUGUGUAACACGUAAGUAACCUGUCUCUCACUUCUGGAUAUCCGGGUGAAAGGGUGGAUAAUACGGGGACUUCUUGCCUGCUCGCAUGGGUGGGUUUGGAAAGAUCCGACCGUCUUUGGUUGAUUUGGCGGGGGCUGGGCUUGCGGCUUAUCAGCUUGUUGGUUGGGAGGUGGCCUGCCAAGGCUCUGACGGGUAGCCGGCCUGAGAGUGAGGGCUGACACACUGGGACUGAGACACGGCCCAGACUCCCACGGGACGCAGCAGUGGGGAAUAUUGCACAAGGGGCGAAAGCGUGGUGCAGCGUCGCCGCGUGAGGGAUGGAGCCCUUCGGGUUGUGACCCUCUUUCGGCAGUGAAGCAGGUCCUGCAGUAGGUGGUGGGGUUGAGGGUGGCUGUGUUCAGGAAGCGCCGGCUAACUACGUG
rnacentral:rRNA from 1 species